ensembl:lncRNA
UGUUUUUCUUUGAUCUGUUGUUGGUGGAUACUUCUGACUUCAGAUUUCACGUUUGGCAAUGCGGCAGUGAAUCAUGCUCUAACUUUAUUUGUUAAUCAUGGAGAGUCUGCCAAAAUAAGAUGCAACUACAGCCGAACAGAUGACACAGAAAUCAUGACAGUGGAUUUAAAAGCGUUAAAUCAGACACGCAUGUGUUCAUACAUACAUUUGAAUUCAUGGAAAAAACAAAGCUGCAAAGAUCACAUCAGAUUCAUAUGGAAUCCAGAGGCUAAGGAAAUAUCAUUUGAGCUAUUAAAUCUCCAUAUUAAGGAUACCGGCAAAUACACCUGUAUUGUGAGGAGGAAUGCAAAACCACCUGAAGUGGAUCUGGGAGUAGAAAGAGUUCAAAUUAUUGUGUAUCCCGUCUUGUCUCUGUCCUGUGUGAAGAGGCCUGAUGGGUCUCCCAUGAUUCUGUGCUCUGUGGAUUUUUAGCAUGAUUCUCUUGAACAGUUUUGCAGAGACGGAGAUGUCCUCAAAAGCUCAUACUCAAAAAAAUCAUUCAAUGGAUUCUUCAGUCAGCAAUCAUACCUUAUACUGCCACCACAGACCUUCAAUGAUACAGUCUACUCCUGCUGGGUAAAUCAUUCAUCCCUAAACAAACCACUAGUGGCCAGUUUAUCAAGCUCGGUCUGCUAUAAGAAAGGGGUGCAGAUUCUGAUUCUGAAGAAGAACUGGACUGUUGCCCAGUGGUCCAAAGUCCUCUUUUCAGAUGAGUUUUGUAUUUCAUUUGGAAACCAAGGUCCUAGAGUCUGGAGGAAGGGUGGAGAAGCUCAUAGCCCAAGUUGCUUGAAGUCCAGUGUUAAGUUUCCACAGUCUGUGAUGAUUUGGGGUGCAAUGUCAUCUGAUGGUGUUAGUCCAUUGUGUUUUUUGAAAAAGUGUUGUCUGCACCAGACCUGAACCCCAUAGAGAAUCUAUGUGGUAUUGUCAAAGAGGAAAAUGAGAAACAAGAGACCAAAAAAUGCAGAUGAGCUGAAGGCCACUGUCAAAGAAACCUGGGCUUCCAUACCACCUCAGCAGUGCCACAAACUGAUCACCUCCAUGCCACGCCGAAUUGAGGCAGUAAUUAAAGCAAAAGGAGCCCCUACCAAGUAUUGAGUACAUGUACAGUAAAUGAACAUACUUUCCAAAAGGCCAACAAUUCACUAAAAAUGUUUUUUUUUUUUAUUUAUUGAUCUUAUGAAGUAUUCUAAUUUGUUGAGAAUUGGUGGGUUUUUGUUAAAUGUG